CCAAAUUUGAAACAUUUUUUUUUUAUAUAAAAAAACCCACAUAACCCGUCUUCUUCAAGACAACAAAAACAAUCAAUCUUUGCUCCCUUCUUCCUCAUCCUACCUUUACUCUCCUCUUCCACCUACCCCCAACAAGACAUACACCAAAUGAAACAAAAGUACACAACCCUAGUACUAAAUGUGAGUGAGUAAAUCCCAAUCUUAAUGGUUGUUGUCCAAGGCUCCAAGGUCCAUCUCCCACACCCUUCCUCCCUCUCUCCCUCUCCCCACCCUCUCCCAACAACCUCCAUCCUCUUUGAACCCUCCUCCCUUUCUCUUGCCCUCACCCACUCUGACUCCUCCCUCUCUCUCUACCCUUCCUUCUCCCCCCAAACCCUAACCCUAGCCCUAACCAUCCCCUCCUCUUCCAAAACCACCCAUACCCUACCUGCUCUUCCUCCUCUGUGGGUCCCACCGUCAUAUUUAUAGUCUCCUCCCCACAUAGAGCCGGCAUCCUCCUUCGCCUCUACCGCCGUCGUCGCGAAACCCCUUCCUUCGCCCGUGUCACUGACGUCCGCUGCUCCCAUAAAGACCUCCUCCGCUUUGAACCUAACCUUGGCGUCGUGCUCGACGCCAAGCAUGGCGCCGCGGUUAGGCUCGCCGGCUCGGUAAAUUACUUCGCGCUCCACGCCCCCUCAAGUAACAAGGUUUGGGUCUUUGCCGUGAAAGACGACGGCGACGGUGGUGGCGACGGCAAUGACGGUGACGGUGGUGUGAGAUUGAUGAGGUGUGCGGUGAUUGAGUGUUCAAGGCCGGUGUUUUCCGUGAGCGUUGCGUUUGGGUUUCUGAUUCUCGGUGAGGAGAAUGGGGUUAGGGUUUUUGGAUUGAGGAGGCUCGUGAAGGGAAGGAGCGGGAAGAGGGUUGGGAAUUCGAAACCGCUGAAGAAUGGUGGUCGAGGAGGCGGUUUGGAGGCGGUGAACUGCAAUGGUGAUUUGGAAGGGAAGAUGGAAAGACAUGGUGGUGUUACUACUGCUGGAUAUAGGUGCGAUACAAGGUGCUGUCCUUUGUUUAAUCUCAAGAUGUUUUAAUGUGAAGCAGACAAAUGUUAAAUUAAAACAUGACGACAGAGAUGGAGGUUCUUGUUUUUUUGUGUUGAAGGGAAACGAGGUUAAAACAAAAUCCAUGACAAAGGAGUAGAUAUCACUGGUAAUGUCAGGCAACUACCUCGUAUUAUGAAAGUGUGAAGUCUUGCUGUUCUUCCUGAUCUAUCUACUAUGUCUCAGACUAUCUGGAUAUCAGAUGGAUGCCAUUCUGUGCACAUGUUCACUGCAAUGGACAUAGAAAAUGCUUUGAAGGAAGCUGAUGGAAAUGAUUGCAAUGAAAAGCUUAGGGGAUGUUUGGUUUGGUUGUUUUUUGUUUUCAUUUUUACUGGUAAUAGAAAAUGGUGAUGGAAAUGUGUUUAGUUGGAUUUUUGUUUUCAUUUUCAGUGAAAAUAUUUUCCCAAAUGAACCAAAAACUGGAAACAAUAAAAUCUCGUUUUCAGUUAAAAUCAAGAACCUUAUUUUGGAUAAAAUGAAAAUGCGAUGGCAAGGAAUGUAAUUUUAAGCAAAUCUAAAAAUACAUUUCCUUUUGAAAACGUAUUUUCAAUGUUUUUAUUUCUUGAAAGCAGAAACAAGAAGUCAAACCAAACAUAUUUUCAAAAUUCUAAUCUUUUGAAAAUGAAAAUAGUUUUCAGAAAAUGAAAACAGGAAAUGAAAAUGCAAAUCAAACACACCCUUAUACAUCUUCCAGGUUCACAAACUUCCUUUUCCAUUAUUGAUUGAAUUAUUUACUGAAUCAGAAAUAUGUAAGUUGCUGUAAUUUUCUUGUUUGAGUAGCAACACAACUUCAACUAAAUUUUUUUUACAGGCCAGACUAAAUAAAUUUAUCCAAAUCAAAAUUUUAAGAAUGUACCUUAUCACUUAUUCAUAAUAAAAAGUUAGUAUAUAAAGGUAUUAAGUAUUAGAGGAAAUGAUGGUGGGAUUGAUAUAAACCUCGAGGAAUGCUAACGACACUUUAACACUCUUUUUGACACUCUCUACUAUUAACUAUGGACUGAAAUUUAUUGGACAUCACCAAUUUUGGUGGGUCUCACUUCUCAUGACUCUUGAUUUAAAAGUGGGAAUCACCAAAAUUGGUGAUUUUCAAUCAAUUUCAAUCAAUCAUACAGAGAGUGUUAGAGAGAGUCUUGCUAGCAUUCCUCAAUAAAGCUUAGUGACAUUUUAUCUCAUUUCACGUAAUUUGGAUAUCAGACCACAUUCCUUUUAUAUAAAUAAAUAUUCGAGCUCCUGUAACUUGGAAAUCAUUGACUGUAGAUUUUAUCGAAUUUUUCCACUUAUUGUAUAAGCUAUUGACAAUAUGCCAUUUAUACUAUAUUUCUUUAAUAUAAAUUAAGGAUCCUAUGAUGCCUUUUGUGAGUUUCGUUCUCUUCACUUAUGUAUAAUCCAAGUAACUUUUACUUUCUUUUUCAGUUAUUUGAGUUCUCUUCUCCAGUGAGAAGAUCCAAGAUAUCAUUUCUCUAUCUGCAGAUUCCAUUCUCAUUCUUGAUCAAGGAAGUUUAUAUGCAUAUGCAAAUUCCUGAAGCUGCUUUGAUUUUUCUUUUAUCUUUUUCAGUGGAAAUCAAUAUUCCCGGUUCCCUUGAUGUUCUAAAGUGUACUUGUGUGGUUCAUCGAUAAAUUCUCUCUUUCAUAGUGCUCUGGUUGCUCUUACCUUAUAGUGCAUUCCUAGGAUACUGGAGAUCAUGAAAGAUUGCAAGUAUCAUUGAACUGGUAAUAUCCGUGGAGUUCUAUAUUUCUGGACCUUCGAUUUUCAAAAGCUUAAAGCCACCUGUCCUGCAAAACCUGUCACAGUUAACUGCUGGAGUACAUACCUCCAACAAAGAUGUUGGCUGUUCAUGCAACUUGCUUAUGCUCAUCUUCUUGAUGUUGGCUGAAAUCAUGGUUUUCUGUCAGAGAACUCAGCAAGGUUCGAUAUAAAAGGCAUGAUCUUGGCAACUAGGUUGCUCCAUUUGUUGGAAUAGUGUUAUUGGAUUGCAAUUUUCUCAUUCCAACUAUGUCUAUGGCUGCUAUUGUGUAAGUUAGUGGAGUUGGAGGCUUGUCUUGUUAUUUUAGUGUUACAUUUAUAGCCUUGUCUUGUUCUUUAGUGUUAGGUUUAUACUUUAUAGCCUUGUCUUGUUAUUUAGGGUUAUGUUUAUAGCCAAUCAUGUUUUGUUGUCGUCUUUACUCGACAAUCUUGAUGCCUUUAAUGCUGUUAUACCUAUUAAUUUUUUUGAAUUUAUGUUCAUGUUUGAUGCCUGUA